AAAGUAUCUUUAUAUAUCUUAUCAACUUAGUAUGAUUAUUAAUUUAUAACAAUAUGAUCAACAAGUAUGAUUGAUAAUAAAACCAAUCAGUUCAUCAACAUUCAUUUCUACUGUAAAUCCUUUUCACAAUGAAUUUUUUAAAAAUGGUUUUUAAUUUCUUUUCCUUUUAGGUAUCUACCUGUCAAAGAAGAGACUUUAAGUACGGAUGAUUGCAAGCUUACUUGUGAAACUGAGAACCAGACACAGAGUGAAAAUAUGGGAAAAGAGGGCACUGGAAAUGAUGAAGAGGAGGUACAAGAUGCAGCU